GCAUUGCUGAAGAGUCCAACACUAGGACGAAACAGCCUUUCAGUGC
rnacentral:hammerhead_ribozyme from 1 species